AUUGAACGCUGGCGGCAGGCUUAACACAUGCAAGUCGAGCGGGGUGAUGGUGCUUGCACUAUCACUUAGCGGCGGACGGGUGAGUAAUGCUUAGGAAUCUGCCUAUUAGUGGGGGACAACAUCUCGAAAGGGAUGCUAAUACCGCAUACGUCCUACGGGAGAAAGCAGGGGAUCACUUGUGACCUUGCGCUAAUAGAUGAGCCUAAGUCGGAUUAGCUAGUUGGUGGGGUAAAGGCCUACCAAGGCGACGAUCUGGAGCGGGUCUGAGAGGAAGCUCCGCGACACUGGGACGGAGACACGGCCCAGGCUCCUACGGGAGGAAGACGUGGGGCAUAUUGGACAAUGGGGGGGACCCUGAUCCAGCCAUGCCGCGUGUGUGAAGAAGGCCUUAUAGUUGUAAAGCACUUUAAGCGAGGAGGAGGCUAUUUUGGUUAAUACCCAAGAUGAGUGGACGUUACUCGCAGAAUAAGCACCGGCUAACUCUGUGCCAGCCGCCGCGGUAA
rnacentral:rRNA from 1 species